CUUUGUGGCAGAUGCUUGGAACACCACAGAGGAAGGGAAGCAAAGGGGAGGAAAUAAUGAUAGUGGAAGCCUUACCUGAGGACUAUGGGGGAUCUGGUUAAGUCUCAGCUGUGGUGGUGAGCAUAGAGAAGCAAGUACUAUGAACACAGCUACUGUAUGGGAGCGUCUACUAACAGGCUAUGGUCACUUUGACUGUGUCACUUGGCCUCUGUUUGACAGACGCCAUAGUCUCUUGGGUAUAGGACUGCAGAGGACUAUUCCAUUAUUACCAGGGAGAUCAGGUUUCUCUAUCUGGGUGGAUCCGAAGGAAAAAAACCGUUCUUCUGAAGAUAAGAAAAACCUUCAAUAAGAACUGUGGACAUGUCUAUACUGGGAAAAUAGGUCAUGUUUAAAAAUGUCUUAGCAAACACAUUUUAACUCACCUGUUUUGAAACUUUUGUAGAUAGGAUUUAACACU